rnacentral:ncRNA from 1 species
AACUGAGGACGACCUCAGUUCGGCAUUUCACCGGGGACGGCCCUG